rnacentral:lncRNA from 1 species
GCAUAUCAUAUUGUCACAUUUGUAUGAGGAAAUUUUUUAAUUGAAAAAUUUGUCUCACUCUAUUAUAACUUUUUUCUCUUCUCACUACUCCACCUUCACCUUCUUCCAUUUGCCCCUCGCGCUAACAUAAAAUACUUUUUUAUUUUUUAAAUGUAAUUUACAUAUAUUUCAUUGAGUAAAUUACAAUAAUUUAAUGACAAAAUCAAGUCACAGUGAAAACUAGUUAAUGUCCUUGAAAUGUAUGACAAAAUCAAGGCACAUAGUCAAAAGUAGUACUACUAUGCUUAAAUUAAUAUUUUGUUCUUUUUUCUCUCUAACAUCACUUAUCCAAUCCCUUUCUCUUAUGUAUUUUGUUUCUCCUUUUUUUCAUAAACUUGAUUUUCAUUUGUUAAAAAUCAGAUAGAGAUAAAUACAUUAAUACUAAUUCAAAUAACUAAUAAACAUGUUUAAAAAAGAAUUAAUCAAAAAGUAUGUUCUUGACCUCGUAUAAAUUUGACUGUAUCAUUUGUAGAGUAAAAUAAUGGAGUGAGACCCACUCCAUUAUGCAAUGAAAUUAUGUGUUAAUAAAUUAAAAUUAUUGGAUGUUAGCUGGAGGUGUAAAUGGGAGAAGGUGAGGGUUGAAGAGUAACAAGAUAAAAUGACAAGUUGUAACUGAGUAAGAGCCUGUUUGGCAUUAUUGCUAAAAGCGACUUAUUUUUAGAAGCGUUUUUUAAAAAUAGCUUUUCAGAAAAAUGUUUUUCAAAAAAAGCAAUCUGUGUUUGAAAAAUUCAUUUAAAAGUGUUUUUGAUAAACAAUUUGUGUUUGAAGAGUAAGAAGAUAAAAUGAAGUAACGGAGUAAGACCCACAAUAUAUAUUUUCUCAAUUAAAGAAAUCGCUCACAGCUGUAACUUUUUUUUUUUUUGAGAAUUUACAGCACUAGACAAAGUGUCUAAUAACUUUAAGAAAGGGGUUAGGCCUUUACCACCAUAAUAUUUUUUUCCUCUAGUUGUGUAUGUCGGAAUUAACAAGCAUUUCACUUACUAGAAAAUUUAGCACAAUCUUCAAUCGUUAGUCACAAAGUAACGUCGACAUAUUCAAGUUAUAUUAUUAUAAUUAAAGUAAUGUUAAUUGUUUCUUGUUCAAAUUCUAACAUGUGAAAUAAAUAGGUUGAUGCCUGUUAUAGUUGUCAUCCUCUGUUUGAAGGACUAGAAUAUUAAUUCAAAAUGACUUAAUUUCUGUAAGAUAAUCUUAAGUAUGACCUUUGUUGUAGAUAGUGCUUGGAAGUUGCCUUUGAUUUUCCCCUCUAUGUAACUUGUAUUAGAGAUUCUAUUUCAAGUAUGACAGCCGUACUUAUCACAAAAAUAAGUGUUUUUUUAUUUUAUACUAAAUCCCCAAAAAAUUAGUGUGCUUGUACUGCGACACUAAGUGUAGAAUAUAGCUAGAAUGAUGAAUGAAGAUAAUGGAUCAGACAUUGAAGCUCAGGGGAGUUCGCCGCUGCUAAUGAAUGGUAAUUCUACGUUGAUCAUGAGGAGGUUGGCGCUCUUUCUCCAAUCUACUUACAAGUUCAUUGAAGCUGGAGCAAGAAUACCAUCUCUUUCUCGAGUCUCAUCCUCCACCACAACCUUUUAUACUCCUCUUCCCAGCUUUAAUCUUAAACAUGGAGUAAGUAUAUAAACAAAUGUCUUUAUGGCUAAUAUAUAUACACACAUAGUUAUUAAUUAUAUAUGCUCUCUGUCUAAUUAGGAUGCGGAAUGUGGUGACGAUGAAAUCCAGGUUGUUGAAAUUGUGGCUGAUGAUAAUACUGUACAAUCAAACAAUGAUCACAUCGACAUUGAUCAAAGUACUCAUCAGCAAUGCCUACAAAUUAGUGAAGAGAUUGUGAAGGAGAAGAAGUUGGAUUGGAGUGAUAUUCAUGAUGUUGACAAGGGAAUUCAUGUUGGAGACAAUUCUGGUCGUCACAUGCUGAUCUUCACAGGGUACAUCAUCCGACAAUUGGCAUGCAAGGAACCGACUAUUUUUCUCCUUGCAAUUGCUGCAAUAUUGUCGUUUGCCUUUGGAAUCAAAGAAGAAGGUGUGCAUAAUGGUUGGUUUGAAGGAGCACUUCUGGUUGUGAUUAUACUUGUGAUUGUUUCGUUUAAGUUUGUACGAAAUUGGUACAAAAGACACCUUUGGAAGAAGCAAAAAGAUAACAAAGAAACGAAGAAUUACCCCCUGUUCAUUUCUGAAACGGACCCCAGCUUUUGUGCCUGUUUUGACAAGUUGAACAAUUAUAUACAUAUUAGUGGGUUGUUGAUUGGCAUUUUGAUCACUGUGGUGCUGUUCAUUCGCUUUAAAUUGGGCCAUAAGGAUGACGAAAAUGGAUAUAGAUUAGAAACCAAGGAAGAACCAGCUGAAAUUGCACAGAAUAAUGAAUGCCGUGAAAAAGGUUUUAACAGAAUCAAAGGGAACAGUAAGAGUUCUGAUAACUUUACUUGGUGUCACACUGGUAGGGAUGACUGAAGGGGUACCAUUUCUUAUUUCAAUUACAAUGGCAUAUUGGUAUCCGAAUUUUGAUGUUAAAAUGGAAUCAGUCAGCACCCUAUGUAUAGAAAAUGUUGGCUGGUUGAAAGAGCAAAAACUGGAAGUUAGUCAGUUUUUUCUUGGCAAAAAAAAUGUUACCAAGAUACCGCCAGAUGUCUGCAGUGUUCUCUCAGAUGGAAUUUGUGUGUCCACUCUGACUUCUCAAACAACCGGCCAAAGAAUGGAAGAACCAAUACUCUGUUGGGCAGAGAAGAACAUGGGUAUGCAGAGAGACACUUUAGAUCAGCAGUUCAUAAUAGUGAAGGACAAUGAUAGUGAGAUGAAUCCUUUUGAAGGACCUUGUGGAGUUGUCAUAGAGAAAAAUGGAGAUAACGGGAAGGAGUACUAUUCACACUUCAAAGGACGGGCUGAUUCAAUAUUGUCAAUGUGUUCAAGUUACUAUGACAUGAAGGGAGAAGUGCAGGAUUUGGAUGACGAAACAAAGAGUGAAUUUGCUCAAGCUAACAACAACAAUGUGAACGUAGUUGCAUUUGCCUGCAAACGUACACAGGUUGUUGAACUUGAUGAAAAUGGCCUAACAUUCAUUGGUAUGUUUGUCUUAGAAGAUAAUUUCAAUCUAGACAACAUGAGGCAAGGAAUUGAGAUUCUGAAAGAAGGUGGAGUGAAGAUGAUAUUUGCCUCGGAAGAAGAUGUUGAAGUGCUUCGUGCCAUUGGUGAUGAAACAGGAUUGCUCAACUCACAUGAUGCUCUAGUAGUUAGGGGUGCAGAUGCUACGAAGGAAAAUGUUGAGAAAAUUUGCAUUAUGGGAAAUUCCUCUCCCACACACAAGCUUCUUUUAAUAGAGGAGUUGAAGAAAAGAGAAGUGGUGGCUGUGGUAGGAGAACAAGCAUCUGAAAGUAAUGUGGUUCUUGAAGCAGCUCAUUUUGGCCUGCCUGUGGUGACUAACUGGCCUGAAACUAUAAAUUAUGUGAUUAACAGCAUCAGGGGAGGAAGAAUUGUUUGUGAGAAUCUGAGGCAAUUCAUCCAAGUUGAGGUAAUCCUGGCAAUCAGUAGCUUAUCAAUAAACUUCAUACUGGUUAUAUUAGACGGAGAUGCCCCGUUAACAUUCAUUCAGUUGGUAUGGGUUAACCUUCUUGUUACAUUUAUUGGAGGGCCAGCUUUGCUAAUUACUCAACAGGCCACAAGAGAACUAAGGGAUAAGCUUUCUAUCAGACCAAGAAAACUGCCAAUUACCAAGGGCAUGUUGAGAAACAUACUUCUUCAAGUUUCUUAUCAGACUGGUAUUUUUGUAUUCCUUCAACACAGAGGAAGUGCAAUACUGGGCAUCACUCCAAAAGUUAACAGAUCUAUAGUCUUUAACGGGUUCGCUCUGUGCCAGCUUUUUAACAUAUUCAGUGCAAGGGGAUUUGGAGCAGAGGAAUUAUUUCAAAGGUCUCGGUCAAAAUUACUUGUUUUGGGCAUUGUCUGGGCUCUAUCUUGUGUUGCAGUUUGGAUUCAUUGAAUUAGAGGCUUUCUUGUUUAGCAACACGGCACGACUGAAUUGGAAGCAAUGGGCUGAAUCCAUUUUAAUUGGAGCUGUCACAUGGUUGCUUGAUGUGAUAGUAAAAUGGGCAUCACAAUACAUAAAGAUGGUCAAAUAUUGUGACCCUGGAGUUCUUCACCUAGGUAGAAACUGGUUACAGGAUUGGUUUGCCAGAGUCAAUUGCUGGGACAGUGGACAAAGUAGCACACCAAAUCCAACUCUUGCUUCUUUGGAUUCUCCAAGAUCCUCUAGUGGAAAGGUACUAUACAAAUUUAUCCAUACUGCCUAAUUACAGAAAAUUCAAAGAGUCUUUUCCUUUUAUUCCUAAAACAAUUUGGAUUCAAGUUGUAGUUGUUCUUUUGCAGGGCUGGAUAACAAAUAUAACACGUCGUGUUAAACCAACCAAGGAUAGAACUAAUACUUUGAUGGAUUAAUCAUAUGUUGCAGUAGCUUUAAUUUUUAGUAUAAAUUUUUCACUGUUUUAUUUAUAGGGAUUAGAUACACCUGCAACAACAGUAAAGUUGUCUCCAUGUGACCUAUAGGUUACGGGUUCGAACCAUACUGGAAUCAGCGGACCUAGUCAAUGCAGGAUGAUUAAGGCACUAGGCUACCCUUUUUAGUCUGUAUGGGCUAGUUAAUUUAUGUUAAUUCAUUUCGUCAAGUUUUUGGUUUCUCGUAUGCAUUGGAUGGAGAUAAAAAAAAAAGGUUUGUUCUUGUUCUCUCGUUCUUCUUCUUUUCACUUUUAACUAAAUUCAAGAAUGCAAACUUACUAUAUAGUACUAAUAUAUACAAAAAGCAAGAUUUUUAUGAAUUUCAAACACAUGGAAAUUUGCUCAAAAUCAUAAAGGAAGCUAGUCAGUACACAUGAUUCUACCAAUUGGCUCGUGCAAGAAGAUAAAUAAUUAAAUAUCAUAUAAUAUGCAAAAAUAUAACUUAAUUACCUCGAUGCAUAUUUUCUUCAACUUGCUGUAAUGUAUUAGACAGAGCUCUUGUUGAGGAGAAACUGACAAUCCAGCAAUGCCUCUUUCUUUGUUGUAUUUUCAUCCGCUAAACUUAGUAGAAAAUGCACGAUGACUCGCAAAAAUAUUUUACAGAAAUAAUUAGUACAAAUAAUUAACAUCUAGAAGGUUGGAACAACAAAAAUGUACUUGGACAUUAAAAAAUAAUAAUUCUAAAAUGCAAUGAAACAAUUAACAUCUAGGUUUGAAGGUAGAAUUGUUCAAACUUCACCCAUAUAUCCCCAAUUUUUAACUCCAAUCACACGUAUGAAUAUGUGCGCGUGUUUUUGUUGUUAGUUGUAUUUACUAAUUACUAUGUAGGGAAAAAUGUUUGAAAUAUAUUCAAACUUUGACCGAAAUUGCUGUAAUAAUAUCGAACUUUGGAAAGGAUCGUUUAUCCCUGCACUAUUUAAUAGUGUAUUUUAAAGGUAUAUAUGUGCUCAUGUGAACAUCAUAAAUAUUGCAUAAUUAUAAAUAGUAACGUGUCCACGUGGGCACAUAUAUACCUUUAAAAUACAAUAUUAAAUAGUGUAGGAGGGUAAAAGGUCCUCCAUAAGGUUUGGUAUCAUAACAACAAUUUCGGCCAAAGUUAAAGUAUUUUUCAGACCCUUUUCCCUACUAGAUAUGUAUAUGAGGGCAAGAUCAAUUGAUAUAUGUAUGUAUACCCUAUUGUUACAUGUAAGUCUACCAUUAUUGAUCGAGUCCACUCAAUGAAAUGAAAAGAAUUUUUAAAUAAUUUUUUAUUUCUACCCUUAAUAUUAAUUAACUGCAUAAAAUAAUAGUAGUCAAAUUUAAUAACGAUCAUAAAAAUAAUAUUAAACUUUGUGAUAAAUUCAUAAAAAUAUUAUUCUAUUUAUAAUAUUAAUGAACUUAAAGAAAAUUUUUAUAAAUAGUUAGGUUAAAAAAUAAAUUAUAUAUAAAAGAGGUAUUACAUAUAUGUGAUAUAACAAGGGUAAAAAGAAUAAUGCAUAGAGUAUAGGGGGAGUUUGAUGAUUGUUUAAAAUUGAGGAAAAGUUUGAUUUUUAAAGCAAAGUUGGAGGGUGAAUAUAUAUAUUUUUUUUCAAAUACUGGUGGACAAAAAUGUGUGUGUGGGGUGAAGUGGUGAUGGUGGGAUCAAAUGAAAAAUUGUGAAUACCGCGUUAUAAAAACGAACCAGCGUUGGGAAAUUGUUUUGGACAAAAUGAGUAUUAACAUUUCGCGACACAAAGCUGAGAAAAACUAAACACUUGAUUAGCAUAAUUACCUAGGAGAAAUUUCUAGGAAGCUGCAUUUCACCACUUGUUUAGAAAGUAGAAAUGAGAAAAUAAGUUCCACAAUGUAGUUUGACGAACUGAGUAAUACAAACCUUCGUCAAAAAAGCACCUAUAAUUUAACAAGCAUUUCACUUGCUAAAAAAAUUAGCAAAGAUUCAAUCGUUAAUCAUAAAGUAGCGUCGACAGAUUCAGAUAGAUUAUAGUAUAAUAAAAACAAUAUUAAUUGUUUCUGGUUCACGUUUUAACAUUUGAAAUUUGUAACUUUCAAAUAAAUUAUAGGUUUGCAUAUUAUACUUUUAACUAUAUAUAUUAUUAUUGUCGUCUUGAAGUUUGAAGGACCGAGAAUAUUAAUUCAAAUUGACUUAAGUCAUUUAUAAGGGAUGCAUGACAUUGUUGGUGAUGUCAUGCCUUAAGAAAAAAACGUUGAUGGAACAGCGCAGGGUGGUGCUAGGAAGCUCCCUUUCCUCCCCUCUCUCUAUAUUUUUACGAUCCUUUUCAAUGAUCAUACUAGCUAAUCACAACAAAGUGCUUUCUUAUUUUAUACUAGCUAGAUCUUAAAAAAGAAUUAGUAGUGUGCACGUACGGCGACAGUACUAGCUAGUAGUGAUCGAAGGUCAGAUAAGUAUAAUAUACAGCUAGCUAGGAUGAUGGAGGUGGAUCAUGAAGAUAAUGGAACAGACAUUGAAGCUCAGCGGAGUUCUCCGUUGUCAAUGAAUGGUACUGAAUUAAGUAAUUCUAGUUUGAUCAUCAUGAGGAGGUUGGCGUUCAUUUUCCUAUCUAUUUACAAGUUCAUUGAAGCUGGAGCAAGCAUAGCAUCAUCUCUUUCACCAGUGUCAUCGUCGUCCUCAACAUCCAACACAACCUUUUAUACUCCUCAUACCAGCUUGAAUCUUGAACAUGGAGUAUGUAUAUCAUCACAACCUUUCAAUUUCAUUUGUUUUAGGAGUAUUGACUCCAUAUUUUACAUUUUUAAGUUAGACUUGAUAAAUUAUAUAAUUUUAUAUUUAUAGUAUUAUUCUUUUUAUCAAACAUGCAUUUUAUGAAAUUAUGUACUUUUUGUUUUUAUGAUUAGUAUAAUUAAAAUAUACUAAAUUGAAAAAUACAAAUCAAUUAGUUUUUAUAAUAUUAGUCAAGAACAUAUGUUUAUUAAUUAAUAUAUUUUCAAAAGACAAUAUAUAUCUUAAAUAUUCAAUUUAAUAUCAUUUAUAAAGGGCAUUAUUAGUCUAAUAUAAAUUUUAAUUUUAAUUUUUAAAAUUCAAUAUAACCUUAUGAUUACACUUGUGCAAUAAAACAUUACACUUGUAAUUAGGGGUGUGCAUUCGGUUUUACAGUUUGGAUUUGUACUAUUUGGUUUGGAUUUUUCGGUUUUUGAUUUUGAAGAAGUGUAACCCAAUCCGAAUCAAAAUAAAUUUGGUUUGGUUUGGUAUUUUUCCUUUUGGUUUGAGUUUUUUCGGUUCGAUUAAUCGGUUAUGUCGAUAAUUAGAAACAUAACAAAGUUAUAUUUGUAAUUUGAAUAUAUAUAGUUUUUUUGGUUUCUUUUUUCUAAAUCUGAAACCAAACCAAAAAAACAAACAAAAUAAAUCAUAGAUUCAAAACCGAAUCAGAAAUCCAAAAAAUCAAUCCAAAUUAGAAUUCGAUUUGAUUUGGUUUGAUUUUUCUGUUUAAUUCAAAAUAGUGCAUACCCCUACUUGUAAUUACACUGUGGCAAACAAACAAAUCAGCGUAAUUACUAGAUUGUGUAAUUUACUAGGCUGGUAAUUACUACAAUAAUAAUUACCCCAAUUCCAAUCACUCAGUGGCUUUCCAAACAUACUAUUACAUAUUUCUUAACAUCUAGUAUUUAGAACAUUAUCUUUUUCCUAUUCCAACUAUAUCAUUGAUUUGUCCCUCUAAGUUUUUAUUGUUACAAGAGUUACAUUUAUGGCAUAGUCUUUAUCCAUAAUAUUAUAAUCGAUUAGAUAAUUAACUGUCACUUGUAAUUUAUAGAUGAAUACAGUCACUUUAUAACUCUUUCGUUUAAAAUUAAGUUAGGAGGUGAAAAUGUUGUGAAAAUAUUUUAAUUACUCUAUAUUUAACUUAUUAGAUAUUUAUAACAUUUUUAAUUAUGAUAGGGGUAAAAUGGUAUUUCAACUUUACUUUUGUGGCUUCGUGUUAAAUAAUAACAAAAGUCUCACAUUGAUGGUUAAUGAGAUUAGUGAUCUCUUUAUAAGCUUGGUCAAUCAUCCUCUCUUUAAUCUAGCUUUUAGGGUGUGAGUAAAGUCCAAGACCUAAUUUUCACACUUCUCACUCUUAUAGUAUGACUAGUAUUUGGGCACGUGCGGUGCGCGUAUAUCCCUUACCAGUGAGCAUAAGUAUUUUUCAAAAUUGCAUCAAUAUGAUAAAUAUAUUCAAAAAUCAAUGACAUCCAAUGUCUAAAAUGUCCAACUUUGAAGAUUCUUAAUUAGUACUAAAUUGAUUUUAAUUUGAAUUUAUGAGUUAAAAUUUGAUAUGAAUUUGUCAAAUUUUAGUAGUUUUUAUAUAGAUAUUAUGUUUUGAUUUAAAAAAUAAUUAAGUUAAUUAAAUCCAUAAAUUAUAGGCUUAAUAUGCUCAUAUCAUCAAUUAACCGUUGUCCUACCUCCAAAAUCAAUAUUACAUUUCUAAACGAAAUUCAUUUGAUGCGACUCAACGCAAUUAUAAUAUUUUUUGUAGUUAGAAAAGGAAUUCAACAUUUCAUUUAUAUUUUGUCGACUGUAUUGUUAACAUUGUAAUUGAGAAACAAAAAGACAUGUAUUGUUUUAUGUUGUCAAAAAAAAGAAGAAACAAAAAGACAUGAUAAAAAAUAAUAUUAUGACAUGUGAGUGAUAAGUAAUAUAAAUUCUGAAGGAGAAAGGGAGGGAUAAACUAUGGCUCAAAUAACUAAAAUAAUCAACGAAAAUUAAAACAAAGAAAGUUAAUAUAAUUUCGUGAGAAAAAUAACCAAAAGAUGAUAUUGUAUUCAUUCCUUUCUUUCUUAACAUGGGUUGUUUAUCCUCCCUCUUCUUUCUUUUUGGAUGAAAGCUCCAUUAAAAAAAUUAAAUUCAGACAAAGAAAGUGAAGUCAAAUAGGCAAUGAAUAUCAAAUCACUCAACAUGCCAUAGCUCAUAAAUACAUUUUUUACUUUUAUUGGGUUAUGACGAUUAAUAUCAAAAUUCAAUACUUAAUUAGCUUUACACACAAAUAAAUCACACGAAUCUGCAUAUGAAAAUUCAAUAAACUUGACCUACUAUUGACAAAAUAAAAAUAAAAAAGAAAAGAAAAACCAAACAAAGAAUAUUGUGCUAACAAAAAAAUUAUGUUAGAAGGAAAUGUCACUUACCCCAUUUGUAUCGACACAACUCAAAGUACAGUUCUAUGCGAUUGACACAGAAGCAUCUCAUCAAUUGAUUUUUUCUGCAACAAAAAAAAUCAUCUCAUACGCUAUUGACACAAAAUUAAAAAUUUUAUUUUAUAUCAGAGAUCAAAAUCUUAAACAUCAAUCAAACAACAUAAACUAUAUGAUAAGUAAGAAGUAAGAAACAAAAUAAAAAAUAACUUAAAAGAACAUACACAUGAAUGGAGCACCGGAAAGGACAAUGUUCCUAUGCUCUCUAUCAAACUCAUAAAACAAAAUGUAACGAACAAGACGAUAUACAUAUGUGAAAUGAAAAGACAAGGAUCAUAGUGGAGAAUGUAAAGAGACAAGAGUUUCUUUAGAAGAUUAUUAAUGAAUAAUUGUCUUUUAAUGUAUCUAUUUUAUGUAAGAAUAUAUAUUUUAAGUACAAUAUAAUAUGUGAUAUGAUUACUAUUUAAUAUUUUAUAACAUUUUUAUUUAAUAUAGGGGCAAAAUGGUAAUCCAACAUUGUAUUUGAUGCUUCCCACUUUUAAUAAUAUAUGAUAUGAUAUGAUAUGAUAAUAAUAUAUAUAUAUAUUUAUUUCAUAUGGAUAAAGCAAUUUCAGAAAUGAAACAAGUAUAUCUGCAUACUAGUCAUAGCUAUGAUGCUAUAAUAUUUUCAAUACAUGAAAUAUAUAUAUAUAUAUAUAUAUAUAUUGAUAAUAAUAAUUUGAGGGAUUAUAUAUGCUUUCUGUCUACUCAGAACUCUGAAGGUGGUGGAGAUGAUAGUACUGUACAAUCAAACAAUGAGAUUGAGUUUCAGCCUCAUGAUCAGAGUACUCAUCAGCAAUGCUUAAAAAUUAGUGAAGAGGUUGUGAAGGAGAAAAAGUUGGAUUGGAGUGAUACUCGUGAUGUUGACAAGGGAAUUCAUGUUGCAGACAAUUCUGGUCGUUACAUGCUGAUCUAUGCCCAGUUCAUGAUCCGACAACUGAUAUGUAAGGAACCAACUAUUUUGCUCCUUGCAAUUGCUGCAAUAUUGUCGUUUAUCUUUGGAAUCAAAGAAGAAGGUGUGCAGAAUGGUUGGUUUGAAGGAGCACUUCUGGUUGUGAUUAUAUUUGUGAUUGUUUCGUUUAAGCUAGCACGUAAUUGGUACAAAAGACACAUUUGGAAUAAGCAAAAUGAGAACAGAGCAAGGAAGGACCAGCCGUUUAUUUCUGAAACGGACUCCAGUUUUUGUGCCGACUUUGACAAGUUGAACAAUUACAUACAUAUUAGUGGGCUGUCCAUUGGCAUUUUGAUCACUGUGGUGCUGUUCAUUCGCUUUAAAUUGGGCUAUAAAGAUGAUGAGAACGGAUAUAGAUUGGAAACCAAGGAAGAACCAACUGAAAUUGCACGGAUAAUGAAUGCCGUGAAGAAGGUUUUGACAGAAUCAAAGGGAGCAGUGAGAGUUAUGAUAACUUCUCUUGGUAUCACACUGGUGGGGAUUACUGAAGGAGUACCAUUUCUUAUUUCAAUUGCAAGGGCAUACUGGUAUCCAAUUUUUGAUGUUAAGAUGGAACCAGUCAACACCAUCUGUAUAGAAAAAAUUAGAUGGUUGAAAGUUACCCAGUUUCUUCUUGACAAAAAAGAUGUUACCAAGAUACCACCACAUGUCUACAGUGUUCUCUCUGAUGGAAUUGGUGUGUCCCCUCUAACUUCUCAAACAGCCUACCACAGAGUAAAAGAAGCAAUACUCUGCUGGGCAGAAAAGAACACGGGUAUGCAGAGAGACACUUUGGAUAAGCAGUUCACCAUAGUGAAGAACAACGAUGAUGAGAUGAAUCCUUUUGAAGGACCUUGUAAAGUAGUCAUAGAGAAAAAUGGAGAUAAUGGGAAAGAGUACUAUUCAUAUUUCAAGGGUCCUACUGAUUCAAUAUUGCCAAUGUGUUCAAGUUACUAUGACUUGACGGGUCAAGUGCAGGAUUUGGAUGACGAAACAAAGAGUGACAUUGUUCAAACUAACAACAAGAACAUGAACGUAGUUGCAUUUGCCUUCAAACACAGUCAGGACGUUGUUGAACUUGAUGAAAAUGGCCUAACAUUCAUUGGUAUGUUUGUCUUAGAAUAUACUUUCAAUCUAGACAACAUGAGGCAAGGAAUUGCGAUUCUGAAAGAAGGCGGAGUGAAGAUGAUAUUUGCCUCAGAAGAAGAUGUUGAAGUGUUUCGUACCAUUGUUGAUGAAACAGGAUUGCUCAACUCACAUGAAGCUCUAGUAGUUAGGGGCGAAGAUGCUACAAAGGAAAAUGUUGAUAAAAUGUGCGUUAUGGGAAAUUCCUCUCCCGCAUGCAUGCUUCUUUUAAUAGAGCAAUUGAAGAAAAGAGGAGAAGUUGUGGCUGUGGUAGGAGAACAAUCAUCUGAAAGUAAUGUGGUUCUUGAAGCAGCUCAUUUUGGCCUGCCUGUGGUGACUAACUGGCCUGAAACUAUAACUUAUGUGAUUAACAGCAUCAAGGGAGGAAGAAUUGUUUGUGAGUAUAUGAGGCAGUUCAUCCAAGUUGAGAUAAUCUUUGCAAUCAGUAGCUUAUUAAUAAACUUCAUACUGGUUAUAUUAGACGGAGAUGGUCCGUUAACAGUCAUUCAGUUGGUAUGGGUUAACCUUCUUGUAAAAUUUAUUGGAGGGCCAGCUUUGCUAAUUACUCAGCAGGCAACAAGACAACUAAGGGAUGAGCUUUCUAUCAGACCAAGAAAACAGCCAAUUACCAAGGGCAUGUUGAGAAACAUACUUCUUCAAGUUUCUUAUCAGACUGGUAUUUUUGUAUUCCUUCAACACAGAGGAAGUGCAAUACUGGGGAUCACUCCAAAAGUUAACAGAUCGAUAGUCUUGAACGGGUUCGCUUUGUGCCAGCUUUUUAACAUAUUCAGUGCAAGGGAUUUGGAGCAGAGGAAUUAUUUCAAAGGUCUCGGUCAAAAUUACUUGUUUUGGGCAUUGUCUGGGCUCUAUCUUGUGUUGCAGUUUGGAUUCAUUGAAUUAGAGGCUUUCUUGUUUAGCAACACGGCACGACUGAAUUGGAAGCAAUGGGUUGAAUCUAUUUUAAUUGGAGCUGUUACAUGGUUGCUUGAUGUGAUAGUAAAAUGGGCAUCACAAUACAUAAAGAUAAGCAAAUAUUGUGACUGUGGAGUUCUUUACCCAGCCAGAAAUUGGUUACAGAAUUGGUUUGCCAGAAUCAACUGUUGUGACAGUGGACCAACAAGUACACCAAAUUCCACCCUUGUUUCCUUGGAUUCUUCAAGAUCCACUAGCGGAAAGGUACUGUAAAAAUUUAUCCAUACUGCCUAAUUACAGUACAGUUCAAACAAAAGUCUUUCCUAAAAUUUUGGAUUCAAGUUGUAGUUGUUGUUCUUUUGCAGGGCUGAAUAACAAAUAAAUAUUACACGUCGUGUUAAACCAACCAAGCAUAGAGCUAAUACUUUGAUGGAUUAAUCAUAUGUUUCAGUAGCUUCAAUUUUAUUUAUCCAUACUGCCUAAUUACAGUACAGUUCAAACAAAAGUCUUUCCUAAAAUUUUGGAUUCAAGUUGUAGUUGUUGUUCUUUUGCAGGGCUGAAUAACAAAUAAAUAUUACACGUCGUGUUAAACCAACCAAGCAUAGAGCUAAUACUUUGAUGGAUUAAUCAUAUGUUGCAGUAGCUUUAAUUUUUAGUACAUAGUUUCCUCUGUUUUCUAUAGAAGGUUAGAUAUAGUUGGAGCAACACUAAAGUUGUCUCGAUGUAACCGGUAGGUUAUGGGUUAGAGAAGUUAUGAAAUCAGCCUUUGAUGCUUGUAUCAGGUAGGCUGCCUACAUCACACCUUUCAAGGGUAUCAAACCUACGUCAAUGAGGGAUGAUUAGUGCACUAGGGUAUCCUUUUUAGUUAAUUUAUUUUAAUUAAUUUCAUCAAGUUUUUCGGUUCUUGUUCUUGCUCUUCUUCACUUUUAAUUAAAUUCAAGAAUGUAAACUUAUUACAUAGUACUACUCCCUCAAUCCCUUUUUAUAUGUCACAUUUUUACUUUGUACUUGCAUUGAGAAAUGAUAUAACUUUACCCUUCUACCCUUAUUUAAUGUUUUCUUAAGUUAACUUUAUAAUAAAUGAUGAAUACAUUUUCAAGAUUAAUUAACUACUGUAACAAGAGUAUAAUAGGCAAAAUAUAGUAAUUUAAGCAUAAAUUUUAUAAAAUGAUAAGUAUUAUGGUCCAGCUAUUUAUAGAAAGGAAUGUCAUAUAUAAAGAGACGAAGGGAGUAAUAUACAUAGAAAGCAAGAAUUUUAUGAAUUUCAAACACAGGGAAGUUUGCUCAAAAUCAUAAAGCAAACUAGUGAGUACACAUUCUACUAAUUAAUUGGCUUGUUCAAGAAGAUAAAUAUUUCCAAUAUCAUAUAGUAUAUGCAAAAAUAUAACUUAAUUACCUGGAUCUAGUUUUUCUCAAACUUGGUGAAAUGUAAUAGACAAAGCUCUUGUUGAGGAGAAACUGACAAGUCGGAAAUGCCAUUGGAAGAGACUUUUCUUCAGCGAAGUCAACUGCCUGUGGCCGUUUCUUUACUAUAUAUAAAAAAUAAAAAACAAACCUCACUAAUAUCCCAACAUGGAUUUUAUAAGAAUAUUUUUCUUUAAUUUUUGACACAUUUGUCUUUUAUCAAACGUGUCUUCAAUAAAUAUUCAUGUGUGAGUAGGUAAUUCGGAAAAUAUUACUUUAUUUAUUUCAAUUUAUGUUACAAAAAAACUUUUUUAGUUAGUUCUGAAAAUAAUGAUUGUACUUUUUUAUAGAUAUUUUGAAAUAAUUUAACUUGUAAAAAUCUUGUUUCAGAGUAUUGCAUAUCUAUUUGGACGGGUCAUGAUCUAAUUUAAUUUCUAUUUUAAUUUAUUUUAAAAUCUUCAAUUUCAAUUCAACUCGCUCAUUUAACAUCUUUACCUAGAAGCCUCAUAGGAAGUUUCAUUUCACCCAUGUUUGGAAAGUAGAAAUGAGAAAAUUAAGUAAUACAAAUAGUUUAAUGAAAGUUGUAAUAUAAUAGAAUUUUUUAUCAAAGUAAGCCAUUAUUUAAAUCAAUUCACUAUAAUAAUAUGUUUUUUUUGAAAUUUUACAAAACUAGAAUAAACAUAUUUGAUAGUAACGUUUUAGGUAUUAUUUUAUUAAAAAAAAAUCUAUGGCAAAAAGACAAAUUAUCUGACAGAUAAACAAACAUAAAAUGUUACUGUCAAAUACGUUUUAUUAAUUCGUUACUCACGAAUAUGUUUUAAGGCAAAAACGUUACUGACAGUAACGACUCUUUAAUAACACAAGAAUAGUUUAAGUCUCAAAAGCCAACUUGCUUUACAAAUAGAGUAAUUAGUAGCAAAAAAGAACUGAAUAAUAACACAAGAAUAACUUACUAUUUUUACAUGUAAAUUGCAGAAAGAAACGGAAAAAGAAUGAGAAAAAAGCGAAAAGACUAUAUGGGCAAAUACUUACUUGAAGUCAUUUAGACCUACAGGUUUUCAAAGGCAAGCUAAGGCUGAUGAUGGAAAAUAUAGAACUUGGUCAUGUUAAUCCUUAAUUUUGACUAGAUAAAAAUUAAAAAUCUAAUACGAAAGGAAGUCUUGGAAAGAGGAAUAAGUUCUUGCUAAAUACAAGAGAUAAUUUAAUAGUAAUAAGGUGUAUGGUGGCAGUAACCAAUGGAGUAAAAAUUGUCAAUACAGUCGGUAACCUUUUAACCUUAUAAGGUGUGCAUGAUUGGAUUCUAAAGAGUUGGUAACGUUUUAGCCUUAAAACGUGUGUACGAGUAACAAAUUAAUAUAACGUAUUUGACAGUAACGUUUUAUGCUUGGUUACUAUGUCAGACAAUUGUAUUUUUGCCAUUAAUAUUUUUUUAAUAAAAUAAUACCUAAAACGUUACUGCCAAAUACGUUUAUUUUGUAAAAUUUCAAAAAAAUAUCUUGUUUUGAUAAAUUAAUUUAAAUAAUGGCUUACUUUGAUAAAAAAUUCUAAUAAGCUUAUACACCAACAAGCCUUCCCACAGUAGCCUAUUUGAGGAAACAUUUUAUGGUGGAGGCAUAUCACAUUGUGACAUUUGUACGAGGAAGUUUUUUAAUUGAAAAAUGUGUCUCACUCUAUUACAACUUUUUUUCUCUUCUCACCUCUCCACCUUCAAUUUCUUCCAUUUUGCCCUCCCUCUAACAUAAAAUACUUUUUUUAAAAAAAUAAAUUAUUAACAUAUAUUUCAUUGAGUAAAUUACAAUAAUAUAAUGACAAAUCAAGUCACAGUGAAAACUGGUACUAAUGUCUUGAAAUGUAUGAAAAAUCAAGGCACAUAGUAAAAAAGUAGUACUACUAUGCUUAAAUUAAUAUUUUGUUCUUUUCUUCUUUUUUCUCUCUAACAUCACUUAUCCAAUCCCACUCUCUUGUGUAUUUUGUUUCUCUUUCUUUUUUAGACUCAAUUUUCAUUUGUCAAAAACCAAAUAGAGAUAAAUUGAUUAAUACUAGGCAAUUCAGAUUUAAAUUCAAACAACUAAUAAAAUGUCUAAAAAAGAAUUAAUCAAAACAUACGCUCUUGACCUCAUAUAAAUUUGACUAUAUCAUUUGUAG